rnacentral:rRNA from 1 species
AUUGAACGCUGGCGGCAUGCCUUACACAUGCAAGUCGAACGGUAACGCGGGGCAACCUGGCGACGAGUGGCGAACGGGUGAGUAAUGUAUCGGAACGUGCCCAGUUGUGGGGGAUAACUGCUCGAAAGAGCAGCUAAUACCGCAUACGACCUGAGGGUGAAAGCGGGGGAUCGCAAGACCUCGCGCAAUUGGAGCGGCCGAUAUCAGAUUAGGUAGUUGGUGGGGUAAAGGCUCACCAAGCCAACGAUCUGUAGUUGGUCUGAGAGGACGACCAGCCACACUGGGACUGAGACACGGCCCAGACUCCGACGGGAGGCAGCAGUGGGGAAUUUUGGACAAUGGACGCAAGUCUGAUCCAGCCAUGCCGCGUGCGGGAAGAAGGCCUUCGGGUUGUAAACCGCUUUUGUCAGGGAAGAAACGCUCUGGGUUAAUACCUCGGGGUAAUGACGGUACCUGAAGAAUAAGCACCGGCUAACUACGUGCCAGCCGCCGCCGUAACAC